GACGAACGCUGGCGGCGCGCUUAACACAUGCAAGUCGAGCGAAGCGGCGGACGGGUGAGUAACACGUGAGUAACCUGCCUUAGACCUUGGGAUAGCCUCGGGAAACCGGGAUUAAUACCAAAUGGUCUAAGGUUGACUCGCGUCCCAUUAGCUAGUUGGUGAGGUAACGGCCCACCAAGGCGACGAUGGGUAGCCGGACAGAGAGGGUGAACGGCCACAUAGGAACUGAGAAGCGGUCCGAAAUCUGCGGGAGGCAGCAAUGGGGAAUAUAGCACAAUGGAGGGAAUGCUGAUGCAGCGACGCCGCGUGAACAAUGAAGGCUUUCGAGUCGGAAGGUUCUUUUAUAUGGGAAGCGGUACCAUAAGAAAAAGCCCCGGCUAACUACGUGCCAUCAGCCGCGGUAAUAC
rnacentral:rRNA from 1 species